GGGAAUUUUUCGCAAUGGGCGCAAGCCUGACGGAGCAAUACCGCGUGGGAAUUUUCCGCAUGCGAUUAGAUACCCCAGUAGCUCAUGGGGAAUUUUCAGCACUGAGAGUACAUACCCGCAAUCAGCCACGGCUAACUCCGUGCCAGCAGCCGCGGUAAUACGGAGGAUGCAAGCGUUAUCCGGAAUUAUUGGGCGUAAAGCGUCCGCAGGUGGUUAAUCAAGUCUGCUGUUAAAGCGUGCGGCUUAACCGCAUAUCGGCAGUGGAAACUGGUUGACUAGAGUUCGGUAGGGGUCACGGGAAUUCCCAGUGUAGCGGUGAAAUGCGUAGAUAUUGGGAAGAACACCAGCGGCGAAAGCGCGUGACUGGGCCUGAACUGACACUGAGGGACGAAAGCUAGGGGAGCGAAAGGGAUUAGAUACCCCUGUAGUC
rnacentral:rRNA from 1 species